UACGGGAGGCAGCAGUGGGGAAUAUUGGGCAAUGGGCGAAAGCCUGACCCAGCAACGCCGCGUGAAGGAAGAAGGUUUUCGGAUUGUAAACUUCUGUCCUAUGUGAAGAGUGGUAGACGGUAGCAUAGGAGGAAGCCCCGGCUAACUACGUGCCAGCAGCCGCGGUAAU
rnacentral:rRNA from 1 species